AUUGAACGCUGGCGGCAUGCCUUACACAUGCAAGUCGAACGGCAGCGCGGGAGCAAUCCUGGCGGCGAGUGGCGGACGGGUGAGUAACGCGUGGGAACGUGCCCUGAGGUACGGAAUAACUGCGGGAAACUGCAGCUAAUACCGUAUGAGCCCCGUGAGGGGGAAAGAUUUAUCGCCUUAGGAGCGGCCCGCGUCGGAUUAGCUAGUUGGUGGGGUAACGGCUUACCAAGGCUUCGAUCCGUAGCUGGUCUGAGAGGACGAUCAGCCACACUGGGACUGAGACACGGCCCAGACUCCUACGGGAGGCAGCAGUGGGGAAUCUUGCGCAAUGGGGGCAACCCUGACGCAGCCAUGCCGCGUGAAUGAUGAAGGCCUUAGGGUUGUAAAGCUCUUUCGGCCGGGAAAAAUCGCCUCUCCUAAUACGGGGGUGGAUGAUGGUACCGGACUAAGAAGCACCGGCUAACUACGUGCCAGCAGCCGCGGUAAGGUCGUCAUGU
rnacentral:rRNA from 1 species